rnacentral:tRNA from 1 species
GGUAAGAUGGCCGAGUGAUAGGCGGCAGGUUGUAGCCCUGCACAGGCGGGUGUAAUCCCGCUCUUCCCA